rnacentral:rRNA from 1 species
UGGUGGAGUGAUUUGUCUGGUUAAUUCCGUUAACGAACGAGACCUCAGCCUACUAAAUAGCAAGGUCUUCCUUGCCAGGAAGACCUCUUGCUUCUUAGAGGGACUUGCAGUGACUAGCUGCAGGAAGUUUGAGGCAAUAACA